GGCUCAGGCUCACACAGGGUUGCCAGAACAUGAGACUCUUAAUCUCAGGGUUGUGGGUUCAAGCCCCACCUUGGGGCA